rnacentral:rRNA from 1 species
GACGAACGCUGGCGGCGUGCCUAAUACAUGCAAGUAGAACGCUGAAGAGAGGAGCUUGCUCUUCUUGGAUGAGUUGCGAACGGGUGAGUAACGCGUAGGUAACCUGCCUUGUAGCGGGGGAUAACUAUUGGAAACGAUAGCUAAUACCGCAUAACAAUGGAUGACACAUGUCAUUUAUUUGAAAGGGGCAAUUGCUCCACUACAAGAUGGACCUGCGUUGUAUUAGCUAGUAGGUGAGGUAAUGGCUCACCUAGGCGACGAUACAUAGCCGACCUGAGAGGGUGAUCGGCCACACUGGGACUGAGACACGGCCCAGACUCCUACGGGAGGCAGCAGUAGGGAAUCUUCGGCAAUAGGGGCAACCCUGACCGAGCAACGCCGCGUGAGUGAAGAAGGUUGUCGGAUCGUAAAGCUCUGUUGUAAGUCAAGAACGGGUGUGAGAGUGGAAAGUUCACACUGUGACGGUAGCUUAACAGAAAGGGACGGCUAACUACGUG